ACAGGCUUCACAGCACUCCUCUUUGCUGUUGCAAAAGGAACAGUUAAAAGAAGACAUAAUUAGAGUAUUUGCAUGCAAGGCUGACCUUCAGGUGUGUUUCUGGCUGCUACAGAGAGCAUCAGCCAUUUGGGAGAUGCCAGCUGCUGUAGAAGGAGAACAGUCCUAUAGAGCAGUUGCACAGACAGAGAAAUGGAUACAUCAGCUUCAUGCUAGGAAGGGAAACACAGCUGGGCAGAGUCCUGCUGCUGCGCUGCUAACGCCAGCUUCCAGCACGUGACAAACUGAAGCACCUCUCACAGGUUUGAACUGUGACUGUCAAAUGUUUCUGGAAAAUAUGCAGAACAUGUCCUUUGUUGCAUCUACAAAGACAAACUACUGCCUCCAUUUCUUUUCUUUUCAUAAAAUGACCAGCCAGUUAACUACCUUUGUGUUUUGAAGACAGAGAGCAUCAAUAAUAAAAACACUUACACCAAAGGAAUCAGAGGUCUGUCCAAACAAGUCUUGUUGACAGCAUAUUUUCUGAAUCCAAAUAUUGCAACUUGAUGAAGGAAAUAACCCAAACAGCGUUGAAACAAAAAACCUAAGCCAGCAUUACAAAAAGAAUGAGAAGGCUGGUAAUUUAUUCAUGCAGCAUUAGACACAAUAUACUGGCAAAGAAUUUUAAAGAGGUAACUUUCACAUCUUUCCUGACUAUAUCAACUGGCAGAUUUCACAACUUUUUUUUUAUAAGACUAGAAUCAAAGUCUCCAAUCAGAACCAGAAUACCAACAUCUCAGGCAUCAGCUACCGUUAGCAAAGACUGGAAUUGUGUAAUUCAACAUAGACAUCUUUAAUUAUACAAGGAAAUUAAAUAAAAAAAAAACAAUGCUCAAAGGAAAACUCCAGUGUAAUCCAAGAGAUAAUCUAAUUACAAAGGAGAGUAAGUUAUUAAAAAUGAAGUGUCUUGAUAAUAAAGAAUAAUUAGGAAACAAGCAGAUAAACACAACUCUCAAUUCUUUGAGGAAGCAGAAUCAGAUUGAUGGAAAUGCGUGAGCCUGUGUGCAUGCUUAUAUAAAAGAGAAGGCUGAAAAUCAGGUAAUUAGAUAUAGGAUUAGUGUAGUCUCUCUCUAUUGGAAUUUUCUUUUAAUUAUUAUUUUUAUUUUAGUCACCUAAAAGCAUGAAGAAUUUUCACACCAAAUGUUUACUAACUUUCCCCAACAGAGGUUUCUCACACAAAUUUUUCUACACCAAAAAAACAGGUGAUCAUUUCAAGUCAACAGAGCUUGAGUUAAUUUUCACACUUGCCUCAUAAAAGUUCAUUCUUCCUAAUACUGACAUAUAGCAUUUAGAUUUAAUUCCAGAGGAAACACCGUGUCCUGGAAGAGCAUUGUCUGUCUAAGGAAGGAAAAAAAAUCCAAACACAGCUUUCUCUUCUUCUCCUCCUGCGGUUUGAUACUUUUCCAACAGUGGGAUUCUGCAGUCACUUCAUAUUAAUUCAUGGGUUAGGAAAAUGAUUGGUUUUAUUCAGGUGAAGUCAGUUCUAAUCCAGAGCCCAUCAUCGUCUAUGGAGGAAUCCCAUUGACUUUGGCUAGAUCAGGUCAUUUAUCACUGUGAAUAAUUCAUUUAUCUAAAAGGACUGCUCAGAGUUACAAGUCCAACAUUUAGUUGCAUCUUUAGGACUAAAUUUCUAGGUAAUGCAUAUUUAUUUAACUGGCUAGGUUUUUUACCUAAUAAAGUUAUUUAACAGAAGUCUCCUGAUAAUGAUUAGUUUUGACAAUAUAAGGCUAACACUUUCAUUUCAGGACUACUUUGUAGCUACAACCAAUGCCCCAUUUGUCCUGUUAAUAUGAAUUAAGGAUGGAUCAAUAGCUCCAGAUAUGAAUUCUCCAACUUUUGAGAGUCCCCAAUGCGACAUUACUUAAACAUGGGAUUCAGUAUUUCAUUAUGAAAUACUUGUGCACAUAUACAUUUAGAUCAAACAUUAGAGUCCAGAUCUUCCAUGAGAUGAAGGUAAGUCGUGAGUAUACCUUUCAUUAAUGUACCUUUAUCAUGGAAUUGACAUCAUUUACACCCACAUUAUUAUACUACUGCAAGUAUACUAGCAGCAUUUCCUGCUGCUAUUGUCAAAUGGUUAUUAGCAGAACCAUUGGGCAGCCGCACAACUUCUAGCUCUAUAAAACAGCAAAAAGGGAAACUGAAAUAUCUUCCAGGCUUUGCACUCUGCACUCUGCAAAUCAUAUUUUACAUUUUUAAUAAAAUAAUUGACACCUCUGGCUAUCAGAUUUUCUGCAAAAUACCGAUUUGCAUUAGUUUUGCUUUGGAAGCUUGGUAGAGAUGCUUGUCAUUAGAAGAUUCAGGGACAGAGGUGUCCUGAGACAACAAAAUGAAGAAACCUCUAGCUAUUUCUGCAUUUUCUGAGAUUCUGGCUAACAAAAGCAUGUGUUUUUGUGAGACCAGUUCUUUCUCAUGACCUUUUCUCAUCACUGAUUUGCUGCAAGACUCUGAGGAGAUUGCUGUACCUUACUGAGUUUUAAUUUAUCCACCUGUUCAUGUUAACAACUUUUUUUGUAAGGCCUUUCCUCUGUGCAUCCUAUUCGAAUUGAGUGAUUUGGCCAGCAUUACAUGUGCAAUUAGGAAGUGCCUGUCCCUUUGCUGUAAUGGCUACAAACAUGCUAGAAGUCACUUCCCUUAACAUGUUCCUUGUAUUCCCAGAUAGGAAAUAGAGCUUUUAUGUAUAGGUUACAACAGGUUCUGAGACCAAAUCGUUUUCCUUUGCUAUGUAAUUCCUUUCUUCCUAACAACUAUAUAAUGUCCUACUAAUCUUUUUUGUGUCUAUUUCCAUAAGGAUGCUUUUACUAGAUUUUUAUAAGUGCCUGAAACCAGCAGCAGCAUCUAGAUAGCAUAAUAUAUUUUUCAUAUAAGUUUUGAGUUGUUUGAGAAAUUAAUAUUUAUAAAGAUGACCCGAUGAAAUGUUCCAUGUGAAAACUGAAAUGUUAAAAUUUUGCUGAUUCUGGACUUUCAUCAAAUUUGUUGUUGUGAGCAGAAUCAAAUAAAAGUAAAUAAAAAAUAAAAUAAAAUUUUAAAAAUCCUGAAAAUAAGAUAUUUCAUUCAAGAGAAUUUGAUCUCAAUACUGUUUUACAGGAUAAUGACAUUCAAAAAGUCUGCACCAGCAAGCCCCUCUCAAAGUCUAGGGUGGAUGGGGAGAUGGAUACAUAAACAAUUUAAAAACCAAGGUCUGAUUUCCUUGCAUUUCUACUUCAAUAUAGAACAUUGAAAGGCAAUUGAAUUAGGUAAAAACAACAACAACAACAACAACAACAAACAAAACAAAGCAAAAUCCCUAGAACAACAGAAACAGGAGAUGUAAGAUCAAUGAGAAAUCACUGUUUUUACUGAAGCCAAAAUUCCACUCAAAAACCCACAAUCAUGUCAGUUUCUGCCAAAGUAUCAGUGUUUCCAAGCUAACCUCUUUCCGCAUGUUUUUUUGUCUAACAGCACUGUCAGACCCACUGGCUUUUUCAAGCUCUUCCAUCUUUUGUUGUAAAUAACAACCGAAUAACCAAAUCAUACAGUACUUGCUAUCUGAAUAUUACCUCUUGAAAUCUAAACUUUUGCUUUUUCAAACAAAGCAGACUAGCAACACCUCACAAUAUUAGAGAUCUCCUGUUUUUCUGGGGAAGUAGUUUUUUCCCUUUUUUUUUUUUUUUUUUUUUUUUUUUUUUUUUUUUUUUUUGUCUGUGUGUGUCUGAAAUCUGUCUCUUUUGUUCUCUCAGGAAUAUACCUUCUUCUCUUCAAUCCACUAAGCAAAUUCCCGGAGUCAUAAGUUUCUUUCCCAAGAGCAGUCCUGUAUCAGUCCCUACUGCACAGUCUUAGAAAAUUUGGGCAUUAUAUUCCUGAUAUGUAGGAUUAUUUAGAUUAGUUCUACUGUUCUACAGAAAACUUGUAAUUCUCUACUCAUUUCCAAAUACUUUUUCAGAAAUGGUAGAAAUUUCCUAGAAAGUCUAUAUUAUAUUUACAAAAUAUAUCCAUCUCUGUCUCUGACUGGGGUCUCUGAUUUGCAGCACAUUUUUCUGGAACACUAGGUAUAUAUGAAAAAUGUGAUUGUUUUAUCCGCUUUGGCAUAACAUGAAAAAACAUGCUAGGCACCCUUUUCCCCUCCAAAAUUAAUAGCAACCCUCUCUCUACAAAUGCUGUAAGUUUCUCCACUUGAAUGGCAAACCUUAAAUGCACAGUGCAUUUCCAGUGCACAGAGAUUCCACCAUGGUGGGGCAUCAGUGGGAAACCCGAGCAUUCUGGGGUGGGAGGCUCUUUUGAGAGCUGUAGACUCUCUACUUUCCUGCUAGCAUAAAGCAUUUAGAUUCAAAGAAUUAAGAUAAAAUAGUAAAGGUGCCCAAAAAAAUUAUAAAAGUGGUUAGAGUAAUAUGAAAAAAGUAAAAACCAUAAUGAAAUUAUCUCACAAUCUAGAGAUUUUUAUGAUGAAAUUUAUAAAAUGGGUACAUUUGAAUUAAUCUCAUAAUUACCCUAAUAUACCACUUCAGAAUUUCAAAGUACUAUCAUACGGAGUUCAGCUAUUUCAAAAUUCACUGCACUCAAAAUGCAGCAAUAAAACGAGAGAAGUCUUGACAAAUCAAAUUAAAUUAUAUGUAUAAUCCAUGUUACAGAGAAAGGGAUAAGGAUAUUUUUCUUCCUUAUUAUAGUUACUGUAUUUUUUUUUGGUACUGGUAUAUAGAAAUAGACAGACAGGUAGAUACAUACAUACAUGCAUACAUGCAUACAUGCAUAUAUACAACAGGAGAAGCCUCUAAAAGAUCAAAAGUUCAUCUGACUAUGGGAACAUUUUGAGAUGUUGCUUUCUAACUGUCUUGGAGUUACCUAAAUGGAGUAACUGUCUGUAAAACAAACAAACAAAAAUCUACACUAUCUUAGCAUAGCGUAGCACAGGCAGCCAGGUGAGACGGUUAAACUGGCCGCGUCAGCAGCAGGCUAUCGUGGUGGUGGAGAUGGUUUCGGACCAGCUGCCUGCUGCAGAGUACUCACACUGAAGCAGCUACUUCCAGGCACUGAGAUGUGCAGUAUAUGGCAAUUUCAGUCAUCUGAACUCCUGGAUCUAACUAAAAAGGGGAAUUUUUGGUGUUACAAAAGUGAAUGAAUAGCAAGGGUUUUUUAUACCACAAAAAAGCUUGCUUGCACUUAGAAGAAAAUUCAUACUGGGUCUUUGAUGUAGCACCUCCUUUGGAAAAUUUCAGGCCACACACAAAAAAACAAACGCUAGUGAAGUAUUUGAUUACAUUUUCUCAGAUUAUUGUCUAAGCUACAGUAACAGUAGUUGACAUAAACUGUGCGAAAGCUGUCUACUUGGAAAUUCUCCUCUUAAACCUGACUUUCACUGUAAAAAUAGUUUGCAAAAUAAUUUUGUCAAAUAAAAUUGGCUAUCAUGUCAGUAUAAACAGAUACAAUCUUAGCAAUGGAAUUUCUUUUCUUGAU